rnacentral:tRNA from 1 species
GGCUGGUUAGCUCACUCGGUUGGAGCAUGGUCCUGAUAACACCAAGGUCAUGAGUUCAAUCCCCGUUCAGUCC